rnacentral:rRNA from 1 species
ACGUUCUGGCAUGGGCGCACCCUGAUCUAGCCAUGCCGCGUGAGUGAUGAAGGCCUUAGGGUUGUAAAGCUCUUUCAGCUGGGAAGAUAAUGACGGUACCAGCAGAAGAAGCCCCGGCUAACUCCGUGCCAGCAGCCGCGGUAAUAAAUAA